AAGUCGUAACAAGGUUUCCGUAGGUGAACCUGCGGAAGGAUCAUUACAGAGUACGAGCACCUCGGUGCUCUAACCUCCACCCUUGAAUAAAUUACCUUUGUUGCUUUGGCGGGUCGUCUUUGACCAGCGGCUUCGGCUGUUGCGUGCCCGCCAGAGGGCCACAACUCUUGUUUUUAGUGAUGUCUGAGUACUAUAUAAUAGUUAAAA
rnacentral:misc_RNA from 1 species